GACGAACGCUGGCGGCGUGCUUAACACAUGCCAGUCGAACGGAAAGGCCCUGCUUUUGUGGGGUGCUCGAGUGGCGAACGGGUGAGUAACACGUGAGUAACCUGCCCUUGACUUUGGGAUAACUUCAGGAAACUGGGGCUAAUACCGGAUAGGAGCUCCUGCUGCAUGGUGGGGGUUGGAAAGUUUCGGCGGUUGGGGAUGGACUCGCGGCUUAUCAGCUUGUUGGUGGGGUAGUGGCUUACCAAGGCUUUGACGGGUAGCCGGCCUGAGAGGGUGACCGGCCACAUUGGGACUGAGAUACGGCCCAGACUCCUACGGGAGGCAGCAGUGGGGAAUAUUGCACAAUGGGCGGAAGCCUGAUGCAGCAGCGCCGCGUGCGGGAUGACGGCCUUCGGGUUGUAAACCGCUUUCGCCUGUGACGAAGCGUGAGUGACGGUAAUGGGUAAAGAAGCACCGGCUAACUACGU
rnacentral:rRNA from 1 species